rnacentral:rRNA from 1 species
AAAUUGAAGAGUUUGAUCAUGGCUCAGAUUGAACGCUGGCGGCAGGCCUAACACAUGCAAGUCGAGCGGAAACGACACUAACAAUCCUUCGGGUGCGUUAUUGGGCGUCGAGCGGCGGACGGGUGAGUAAUGCCUAGGAAAUUGCCUUGAUGUGGGGGAUAACCAUUGGAAACGAUGGCUAAUACCGCAUAAUGCCUACGGGCCAAAGAGGGGGAUCUUCGGACCUCUCGCGUCAAGAUAUGCCUAGGUGGGAUUAGCUAGUUGGUGAGGUAAUGGCUCACCAAGGCGACGAUCCCUAGCUGGUCUGAGAGGAUGAUCAGCCACACUGGAACUGAGACACGGUCCAGACUCCUACGGGAGGCAGCAGUGGGGAAUAUUGCACAAUGGGCGAAAGCCUGAUGCAGCCAUGCCGCGUGUAUGAAGAAGGCCUUCGGGUUGUAAAGUACUUUCAGUUGUGAGGAAGGGGGUAACGUUAAUAGCGUUAUCUCUUGACGUUAGCAACAGAAGAAGCACCGGCUAACUCCGUGCCAGCAGCCGCGGUAAUACGGAGGGUGCGAGCGUUAAUCGGAAUUACUGGGCGUAA